CAGAGUAGGAAAUAAAGCGUUAAGUGCUGAGAGGAUGGGAUGUUGCCUCUCGGACGAAGGACUAUGGUCCGCGGUUUUGUUUUCGCAUUCGCUGC
rnacentral:ncRNA from 1 species